rnacentral:SRP_RNA from 1 species
GCCAGGCACAGUGGCGUGUGCCUAUAGUCCCAGCUACUCGGGAGGCUGAGGCUGGAGGAUCACUUGAGUCCAGGAGUUCGGGGCUGUAGUGCGCUAUGCCAGUCGUGUGUCCACAUUAAGUUCAGCAUUAAUAUGGUGACCUCCCGGGAGCGGGGUACCACCAUGUUGCCUAACGAGGGGUGAACCGGCCCAGGUUGGAAACGGAGCAGGUCAAAACUCCCGUGCUGAUCAGUAGUGGGAUCAUGCCUGUGAAUAGACACUGCACUCCAGCCUGGGCAACAUAGCGAGACCCCCUCUCU